CAUCUUUCAGCAUUCUCGAAUGAUUUACCAGGUGCAGCUUCAAAAGUGACGAGCAGAGGGGAGCGGCCACGACCCUCGACCCGCAGGCCAUGGCUUUGCUAACGCAGCGCAGCGUUCAGUGAGGCUCUGCUGCCACAAGGGUGCACUGCAGACUCGUGCUCCAUUUGUCCACCACAAAACUGGGGCGUCCCUACUCUUCCCGAGCUCUGUCCUGCACAGCCGCUCUCUGGGGAGCGGCCCCAGGCUGCGGGUUGGCAGUGGUGAAGCUUCCCUGCAGCAGGACUCCAGCUUGGUCCAUCACCUCACCAGCUUCUGAACAUUUCUCCUGCUCUCAUUGAUCCCUCUGGAUGGCAGCCUUGCCUUCAGCUCGCAGCCCAGAAAAGCAGGCACCGUUCGGUGCUGCCUGCCCAUGCUUAGGGUGCUCUCCAUCCUGUCACAGGGGCUGCUGAAGAGUGAGCUGCACCUCACUGAAGCCAGAGCGUGCACCCUUCUCUCUCCUUUUCCACACAGACAGUCAUCUCAUCACCAGCAGCACCAGGCUACCAGGAAUGAUUUUAUCUUUGGAAAACUCACAUUGACUAGACCCAGUGACCUAUUUGUUUUCACAGGCCUGGAUCCUCCUUCUUGACUCUUCUGAAGACAGCUAUAAGUGUCCUCUUUUCAGACUCUGGAGACCUCCCUCAAUGACAAUGUUUCAAAGACAAGGAGCUCCAUACAGCCUCCUCCACUCCUCCUGCUUGGAAACAUUCAUUUGGCAGUGCCAGGUGUUGAACCAUGACACUGUAAGCCCACUACAAGCCUCAUUCUGGGGGCCCAAACUUGAAUUCUUGCACAGCAACAACUUGCAGCCACACCACACCGUGGUCAUUCCGGCAGUGAACAGUAACCAAUGCACGAGAGAAUCAGAUCUCAUCACCAUAAUGGUCAGCCUGUGAUUUGUGCUUUCAGUGCUUUCCUUCAAAAUGGUAACUGCAUCACAAAUAUUUCAUUUCAGAACUAGUGCUUUGUUAAACAAGUCCAGGAAUUUCAUAGCCAGCUGUUUGUGAUAUUGCACCUCAGGAGAAAACAUCCUAACAGAUCAAAAAGGCAGCUGAUAGCCUCUGUACAAGUAUGAUACACAUUUUCUUCUCAUUUAGGGCUCAUUUCUAAAUCCUGGGAUCCCAGCAGGCAGAAGGGGAGGGUUUGCCAUUUAUCUUCUAAGGAUUAUCUCACAAGCUCAAUUCUGUGCAUCAUGAACAAAACUUUGGUGGCAAAUGGAGUUACAAUACACAAAACAGAAGACAGCACAACAAAGAAUACAGAGGGUUUUAAUAUGACUCUGAACACGAAUCUUCCUUGUCUCACACCUGCAGUCCUUUAGCUCCUUACAUUGCAUCUGUUUGUUGCUGGAUGACAAGACACAGUCACUCUUAGUGACCUAGAUAUUUCUUCCAAAUAGGAAGUUCUUUG
rnacentral:lncRNA from 1 species